UGGGGAAUAUUGGACAAUGGGCGAAAGCCUGAUCCAGCCAUGCCGCGUGUGUGAAGAAGGUCUUCGGAUUGUAAAGCACUUUAAGUUGGGAGGAAGGGCAGUAAAUUAAUACUUUGCUGUUUUGACGUUACCGACAGAAUAAGCACCGGCUAACUCUGUGCCAGCAGCCGCGGUAAUACAGAGGGUGCAAGCGUUAAUCGGAAUUACUGGGCGUAAAGCGCGCGUAGGUGGUUUGUUAAGUUGGAUGUGAAAGCCCCGGGCUCAACCUGGGAACUGCAUCCAAAACUGGCAAGCUAGAGUACGGUAGAGGGUGGUGGAAUUUCCUGUGUAGCGGUGAAAUGCGUAGAUAUAGGAAGGAACACCAGUAG
rnacentral:rRNA from 1 species